GAUCCUGGCUCAGAAUCAACGCUGGCGGCGUGCCUCAGACAUGCAAGUCGAACGAUUAAACUUCUCUUCGGAGAAGAUAUAAAGUGGCGCACGGGUGAGUAACACGUAAGUAAUCUACCUUCGGAUGGGGAAUAACAGUCGGAAACGACUGCUAAUACCGCAUAAUGCAGCGGCAUCAUAAGAUGACAGUUGUUAAAGUAUUUAUACGUCUGGAGAGGAGCUUGCGGCAGAUUAGCUAGUUGGUAAGGUAACGGCUUACCAAGGCUACGAUCUGUAUCCGACCUGAGAGGGUGGUCGGACACACUGACACUGAAUAACGGGUCAGACUCCUACGGGGGGCAGCAGUCGGGAAUUUUGGGCAAUGGGCGAAAGCCUGACCCAGCAACGCCGCGUGAAGGAUGAAGUCUUUCGGGAUGUAAACUUCGUAAGAAUAGGAAGAAUAAAUGACGGUACUAUUUGUAAGGUCCGGCUAACUACGUGCCAGCAGCCGCGGUAAUACGUAGGGACCAAGCGUUGUUCGGAUUUACUGGGCGUAAAGGGCGCGUAGGCGGCGUGACAAGUCACUUGUGAAAUCUCCGGGCUUAACUCGGAACGGUCAAGUGAUACUGUUGUGCUAGAGUGCAGAAGGGGCAAUCGGAAUUCUUGGUGUAGCGGUGAAAUGCGUAGAUAUCAAGAGGAACACCUGAGGUG
rnacentral:rRNA from 1 species